rnacentral:rRNA from 1 species
CGGCCCAGACUCCUACGGGAGGCAGCAGUGGGGAAUAUUGCACAAUGGGGGAAACCCUGAUGCAGCGACGCCGCGUGGAGGAAGAAGGUCUUCGGAUUGUAAACUCCUGUUGUUGAGGAAGAUAAUGACGGUACUCAACAAGGAAGUGACGGCUAACUACGUGCCAGCAGCCGCGGUAAAACGUAGGUCACAAGCGUUGUCCGGAAUUACUGGGUGUAAAGGGAGCGCAGGCGGGAGAACAAGUUGGAAGUGAAAUCCAUGGGCUCAACCCAUGAACUGCUUUCAAAACUGUUUUUCUUGAGUAGUGCAGAGGUAGGCGGAAUUCCCGGUGUAGCGGUGGAAUGCGUAGAUAUCGGGAGGAACACCAGUGGCGAAGGCGGCCUACUGGGCACCAACUGACGCUGAGGCUCGAAAGUGUGGGUAGCAAACAGGAUUAGAUACCCUGGUAGUCCACACCGUAAACGAUGAUUACUAGGUGUUGGAGGAUUGACCCCUUCAGUGCCGCAGUUAACACAAUAAGUAAUCCACCUGGGGAGUACGACCGCAAGGUUGAAACUCAAAGGAAUUGACGGGGGCCCGCACAAGCAGUGGAGUAUGUGGUUUAAUUCGACGCAACGCGAAGAACCUUACCAAGUCUUGACAUCCCUUGACGAUGCUGGAAACAGUAUUUCUCUUCGGAGCAAGGAGACAGGUGGUGCAUGGUUGUCGUCAGCUCGUGUCGUGAGAUGUUGGGUUAAGUCCCGCAACGAGCGCAACCC